rnacentral:rRNA from 1 species
UACGUAGGGCGCGAGCGUUGUCCGGAAUUACUGGGCGUAAAGAGCUCGUAGGUGGUUUGUCGCGUUGUUCGUGAAAUCCCACGGCUUAACUGUGGGCGUGCGGGCGAUACGGGCAGACUGGAGUACUGCAGGGGAGACUGGAAUUCCUGGUGUAGCGGUGGAAUGCGCAGAUAUCAGGAGGAACACCGGUGGCGAAGGCGGGUCUCUGGGCAGUAACUGACGCUGAGGAGCGAAAGCGUGGGGAGCGAACAGG